UUUGUCGGACAUCUCAUUCUGUGCUGGAAACACUGGGAGGCAGGAAGUUUGAAAAAAACGGCCACUGCCGCCCCUAAUGUCUCGGUCGUGGGUUCGUUAUGCCACUUGUGCGUCAUUCUAAGCCGUUCUGUACAUUUAUACUGGAUAUUAAUUGGAGUCAUUUAGCUGUGCUGAUUCUGCUUGCCGUGUGUUUUGCAUCAGUGCUUCGUGACAUCGGCUGUAUUACGUGUUUUCGCCGACGGCUUACUACCACAAUGGCGUGAUCUGCGUUCGCCGCCUUCGUGUCUCGGUGCGUCUUUGUAUACGUCGCACGUUCGGACAACACUUUUUCCGACGGCUGGACAUCCUUCUUGUACCUUGGCGCUAGCUGGAUGACGGGACCUCAUCAUGAUCAGUGUAUUGCUUGCCUAUGUCUACAAGAACCGUCACACGUGGCCUGUGACAGCAAGCUUUUGUGGGCAGCAAGUGCUCUCCUACGAAGGCUGGCCUACUCUGGCAGCGGCGGCAAUCAUCUUCAAGAUUUAUCCAUGAUCACCUUUGCUGCUAUUUCUCACUCUUGUUAAUUACACUUCCUGCAUCUUUUCUAAUUUAUUAGGUAAUAAAGUAUGAGUAUGUGA
rnacentral:lncRNA from 1 species